rnacentral:pre_miRNA from 1 species
AGUAGAAUGGUUAGGUCAUAUGGUAGGUGGAUAUUUAACUUUUUAAGAAACUGCCAAAGUAUUUUCAAAAGUAGUUAUACCAUUUACAUUCCUACAAGCAGU